CCCUUAGAUGUCCUGAGCCGCACGCGUGCUACACUGAUGCAUACAGCGAGUACUUUCCAGCUCCGCGAGGCAGCUGGUAAUCAGCAAUAUGCAUCGUGCUGGGGAUAGAUCUUUGGAAUUAUAGAUCUUGAACGAGGAAUUCCUAGUAAGCGCAAGUCAUUAGCUUGCGCUGAUUAAGUCCCUGCCCUUUGUACACACCGCCCGUCGCUCCUACCGAUUUCGAGUGAUUCGGUGAACCUUUUGGACAGCGUCUGUCCUCGUGUCAGAUGCUGAAAGUCAAGUAAACCAUAUCACUUAGAGGAAGGAGAAGUCGUAACA
rnacentral:rRNA from 1 species